UACGUAGGUGGCAAGCGUUGUCCGGAAUUAUUGGGCGUAAAGAGCUCGUAGGCGGCUUGUCGCGUCGACUGUGAAAACCCGUGGCUCAACCAUGUGGCCUGCAGUCGAUACGGGCAGGCUAGAAUUCGGUAGGGGAGACUGGAAUCCCUGGUGUAGCGGUGAAAUGCGCAGAUAUCAGGAGGAACACCGGUGGCGAAGGCGGGUCUCUGGGCCGAUACUGACGCUGAGGAGCGAAAGCGUGGGGAGCGAACAGG
rnacentral:rRNA from 1 species